GCUAUCACAGUGGUGUACAUAUAUAGCAAGGAGAAGCAUGGUGAAGUUGCAAAUGAGGGCUUUGGGAAAGAAAAAGAUGGGGCUCACUUGCCCUUAAUUCCAUAAUAAUACUUAUCAAUAAGAUACCACAAUAUCAAAUCUAUUUAUGUGGUUUGAAAAUACUCCUAAAUUUAUGUGGAUAAUCUAGUUAUGUGCUUCAAUUUGCUAGUCCGUGUUUAAGGAGCUUAUUCAUAUUUAGUUUUAGAAUUGAAGAGAUUGGAUUGGAGGAGCUAUUAUGAAUAUGUUAUUUAGCUUUCUAGAGUUUUGGUUUUCUUUUUUUAUGUUCUUUUAGUAAUUUUGAAAGUAUGACAUAUAUUAUUAUCUUGCAAGAAUGUCGUGUGAUAGUCUGCAGACUACAGAUCUGCAAUUUUUAUGUAUUGGGUUGUUUGCUUAUCAUGUCAAAAUUUGCUUGCUGCAAUCUCAAUUUUUUAGUAAAUUUCCUUUGUCUUUUUUAAAAGAAAAAAAGCUUCC
rnacentral:lncRNA from 1 species